GUUGCGCCCGAAGCCAUUAGGCUGAGGGCAUGCCUGCCUGGGUGUCACACAUCGUCAACCGGGAAAGUGUCUCCUCUCGGAGAUAGCGCGUGGUUUGUAGGCUGACCUCCCGCGCGCGUCUCACGGUUGGUUGAAAAUUGGGCUCACGGUCGGGCGUGCCGUGGCAUACAAUGGUGGACGGGCGAUGCCCGAGACCAGCCACUCGCCGUCCGGUCCGGUUUGGCCCAGGGCCCCUGCGGCGUCCUCGGAUGCUCCUAGCGAGACCUCAGGUCAGGCGGGGCUACCCGCUGAGUUUAAGCAUAUCAAUAAGCGGAGGAAAAGAAACUAACAAGGAUUCCCUUAGUAACGGCGAGCGAACCGGGAAUAGCCCACUGUGAAAAUCGGUCGUGUUGUGCGUCCGAAUUGUAGUCUGGAGAAGCGUCA
rnacentral:rRNA from 1 species